rnacentral:rRNA from 1 species
UACGUAGGGGGCAAGCGUUGUCCGGAUUUAUUGGGCGUAAAGCGCUGGUAGGUGGCUUGUUAAGUCGCGUGUGAAAGCUCCAGGCUCAACCUGGAAAGUGCGCGCGAAACUGGCGAGCUUGAGUGCCGGAGAGGGUCGCGGAAUUCCCAGUGUAGAGGUGAAAUUCGUAGAUAUUGGGAGGAACACCAGAGGCGAAGGCGGCGACCUGGAAGGUAACUGACACUGAGCAGCGAAAGCGUGGGGAGCAAACAGG